CCCCCCCCCCCCCGCGAUGCAGGCUCCGCUCCACACCGAUGGCUCCCACGAAAACACGUACACCGCCAGCGGAAAGGCCAGAGAACAAUACGCGCGGACGCGCCCCCCCGCCCCUCGCGCGGUCACCCGGGGCGCGGUGGUUGGGGGGGGGGUGGCGCGAUGGUCGGCGUGACCAGCAGCCACGAGCCGGGAGCGGCGAAGGCGCAGGGCCCCCUCCGGGGCCGGCGCCGUCCGCCGGAGACGAUCAAAGUCCGCAGCGCAGGGCGCGGCGGAUGCUUCCCACCGCGCGGUACCCCCCCACCCCCAGCGAGCACCCACCCCCACCCCCGAGCGUGGAACCCCCCGAGCGUGGCACCCCCGGAUACCUGGCGGCGGCGGCGGCGGCGGCGGCGGGCGGGCGGGCGCCGUCAUCUCCGCGCUCCUCUCGGCCCGAGAGGGACUCGAAAGAGCUGCUCUAGGAGCCCCGUGUGGAUCAUCUUGCUCAGUCCGCUCCAGCCUCCAACCUGGCAGGUGCUGUCGCCACCCACGACCUACAGCUGACGGAACCCAGGCGGAUUCCCGAGGUCCCAGGCGGCCUGGCCGGGACCUGGCAGAGCCGAGCUGGACUCCCAGGACCCACUCUCCGCUUACUGUCAUCACCCCUGUUGUUAGUCAAUCGAGAAUUAAAUCGUUUGCUAAUAAAAAAUGCCUACCUGAGUGUCUUGA
ensembl:lncRNA